AUUGAACGCUGGCGGCAGGCCUAACACAUGCAAGUCGAGCGAGCGGCGGACGGGUGAGUAAUGUCUGGGAAACUGCCUGAUGGAGGGGGAUAACUACUGGAAACGGUAGCUAAUACCGCAUACCAUCAGAUGUGCCCAGAUGGGAUUAGCUAGUAGGUGGGGUAAUGGCUCACCUUGGCGACGAGCCCUAGCUGGUCUGAGAGGAUGACCAGCACAACUGGAACUGAGACACGGUCCAGACUCCUACGGGAGGCAGCAGUGGGGAAUAUUGCACAAUGGGCGCAAGCCUGAUGCAGCCAGGCCGCGUGUGGGAAGAAGGCCUUGGGGUUGUAAAGCACUUUCAGCGGGGAGGCGUUACCCGCAGAAGAAGCACCGGCUAACUCCGUGCCAGCAGCCGCGGUAUUC
rnacentral:rRNA from 1 species